CCUACGGGUGGCAGCAGUGGGGAAUAUUGGACAAUGGGCGAAAGUCUGAUCCAGCCAUGCCGCGUGUGUGAAGAAGGCCUUCGGGUUGUAAAGCACUUUCAGUGGGGAAGAAAGCCUUGGGGCUAAUACCCUCGAGGAAGGACAUCACCCACAGAAGAAGCACCGGCUAACUCCGUGCCAGCAGCCGCGGUAAUACGGAGGGUGCGAGCGUUAAUCGGAAUUACUGGGCGUAAAGCGCGCGUAGGCGGUCUGAUAAGCCGGUUGUGAAAGCCCCGGGCUCAACCUGGGAACGGCAUCCGGAACUGUCAGGCUAGAGUGCGGGAGAGGAAGGUAGAAUUCCCGGUGUAGCGGUGAAAUGCGUAGAGAUCGGGAGGAAUACCAGUGGCGAAGGCGGCCUUCUGGACUGACACUGACGCUGAGGUGCGAAAGCGUGGGUAGCAAACAGGAUUAGAUACCCGAGUAGUC
rnacentral:rRNA from 1 species